rnacentral:sRNA from 1 species
CUGCGGGGAGGUGCUGGGCUUCCUGGGCAGCUCGUCGGUGUUCUGCAAAGACUGCAGGAAG